CUUUUUUUCUUGCAGGGCUGCGUCCCUGUCCUUGUGUGCCAUCCUGCCUGGCACAGAACGGAGGUGCUCCAGGUCUAUCUGCUGGACCAGCGAGCCGAGGCAGAAUAAACUUCAGGAGGCCCAACUGUGACUACUGCGACUCCCCUUCACAAAAAUGAGGACAUCUCCACCUUCAAACCGUUUCCUACUGGUUAUGGUUCUAGACAUUAUUCUCUAAAUGACCGAAGGCACUGCAACUCAAAGUGUGUUCUAAAGACCAGCAGCGCAGAAAGACCCAGAAGCUUGUCAACAAUGCAGCCUCUCAGGCCCACUACAGACCUGCAGAAUCGGAUGGGGGUUUCUAUAGUCUUCAGUGUAAGAGAUGCACCGUCCUAAGGUUUAGGACAUGUGGGAAGUCACUCAACUGUACCAACGGUUAAACCAGGAAAGAAGGAACCCAAGAAUAUUAAAAGCACAGUAACUACAUCUUAGCGAUCAGAAGAACUAUUAACUAAUUUAGCCUACGUCUGAAAUUUGUCCUGGCAUUUAGCAAGAGCUUGUGAGACUGCAAACACCCAACCAGUCUCUCUCUUCUAGGUCACUCUAAUAAAUGGCUACGUGAUGAA